rnacentral:rRNA from 1 species
GAUGAACGCUGGCGGCGUGCCUAAUACAUGCAAGUCGAGCGAACGGAUGAGAAGCUUGCUCCUCUGACGUUAGCGGCGGACGGGUGAGUAACACGUGGAUAACCUACCUAUAAGACUGGGAUAACUUCGGGAAACCGGAGCUAAUACCGGAUAAUAUAUUGAACCGCAUGGUUCAAUAGUGAAAGACGGUUUUGCUGUCACUUAUAGAUGGAUCCGCGCUGCAUUAGCUAGUUGGUAAGGUAACGGCUUACCAAGGCAACGAUGCAUAGCCGACCUGAGAGGGUGAUCGGCCACACUGGAACUGAGACACGGUCCAGACUCCUACGGGAGGCAGCAGUAGGGAAUCUUCCGCAAUGGGCGAAAGCCUGACGGAGCAACGCCGCGUGAGUGAUGAAGGUCUUCGGAUCGUAAAACUCUGUUAUUAGGGAAGAACAUAUGUGUAAGUAACUAUGCACAUCUUGACGGUACCUAAUCAGAAAGCCACGGCUAACUACGUG